AGAAAAUAGGAUAAAAAAUAUUCUGGCCAGGUGGGGUAGCUCACACCUGUAAUCCCAGCACUUUGGGAGGCCGAGGCAGAUCAUCUGAUGUCGGGAGUUCAAGACCAG